UGGAUGCGUCCGUCUCUUCAGGGGCCGUGGCUGAGUCCGUCACCGUGACGUCAUCCCAGUUGUCACGUGACAAGCCAUCAGAUGGAGACUUCAUGUAGCGGUGAAGGAAAAGUGGAAGAAAUGUGUGUACUUUGUUCUUUAUCGGGAAAGCAGUGUAAUGUGGGCGUGUUGUGGUGCCCACUGCCUGGGCGUGGACGUGGAAUCCUUGGUGUGUUUGGUGACGGGUUUGGGUGGCGCAGCGAGGAAGGGCGGCAAAAAUACAGGAGGAUGAAGUCUGGAAGGUGGUAACGUGGAGACCAAGCGUAAGAAACCUUGUGAGACUUCCAUAAGUGGAGCACCUCACCACACCUCAACGGAGCCUUGUGAGCCAAGACAGUAGCUGCAGGACGCAACACUCUGACUUUUGGAAGUCCGGCAGCACACACAUUCAGAGAUACCUGUGGCAAGUGCAAGACAGAAAAGAAUGAUGAGGAUGGAGGAUGCUAUUACAUUCACAGCAUAAUUGAUUCAAGAUUUAUUUCUUAAUGAAAAGUGUUAGUUGUGGUCACAGUUUUAACAUUAGAAUUGUAUGUCAUCAUAUUCAGAUUUCAUGACUUGUCAUUGUAGUCACCUCUGUGUGCAUUAAGUAAUUCAGUUUCUUGUACAUGUUUAUGAAAUUUGUGAUUUAGAAAUGCCACCUAUAAAAGACCUUACAUUGUUAGGAUUUAUUGAAAGUUCUUAGCUUGUCAUUUGUUUAUCACCAACAUCUAAUUCAGUCAGUUUGUCAUUCUACAAGUCAUGCAAUUUGUCCUUUUUUUUUUUUUUUUUAUGGCAUCAGCUCAAAGCCUGGAUAUCAAUCCCUUACUACCUGAGCCAUCUCUCCAAGCACACACACAUCCAUUUCAGUGUGUUCGCUACAGUCUGUUCCAAGUCUUUUACUUUAUGCUUAGUGGCCCAAGCUGCACAAAUAUAAAGCAUUACACUUCCCACAGAGUUCACAGUCAUAAUUGCAAGGUGUUUGUUCAGCAGUAGUAGUCAGAUGUGGUGAUUAUUCCUUUAAGUAAUUGGUUUUAUAUUAAUUUUUUAGACAUUUUAGACUGGGAAUGUUUAGAUUGAAUAUCUAGCCUGCCAAACUUUCUAGAACUGGUGUUAUAAUUACUGUGUUCUGCAGAGAUUUAAGACUACAGAACUGAGGUUAUAUUUUAAGGAUAAUUUUAAUGUUUUUGAUGACCAUGUAAGGAACACACAAGGGACAACAUGCUGGUUGCUCAUUGAAUUAUUAUUUUCUACAAAGUUGAAAAUUUACGUAGACUUUUGGAAAAAUUAUAUAAUUAUUUAAAUAGAAAAGUAAGUCCAAGGAAGUAGUAUUUGUUUAGAAAAUAAUGUAAAUCCCAGUAAGUUGUGAAAAUUAUGUAAGUAGUAUUUAUGCAGAAAAUAAGCUAAGUAUGUACCUGUAAAAAUUAUACAAUAAUUUGUCCUUGUGAAAAUGUAGAAACUGUAUGUACUAAGUUAAUUUGUCCUUGUGAAAAUGUAGAAACUGUACUAAGUGUCUUUGAAAAAUUUCAUAGACUUUUCAGACAAUGUAAGUUGUGAAAAUUGCCCUGAAAAAUUCUGUAUACUUUUCAGACAAUGUAAAAUAAAUUAGUUGAAUAAAAGUGAAGGGAGACACACUCAUUUAAUUUUAGCUUAAAUGUAUAUCUACCUGGUCUCCGGAGACUCUUCCGAGUAUUUUCGACUUAGUACAGUUUUUGAGGCAAUUUUGAGACCCUUUACCGGGUUUUUUUUAGGCAAAAUUCAGUUUUCAAGCAAUUUUUAGGCAGUUUAGAUUUUUUUUCCAGUUUUUUUUUUUUUUUUUCCAGUUUUUUUAGCUUUCAUUAACAACAGAUCUUAAGCUACAAUUUUUAAGCAAUUUUUAUAUCUACCAGUUUACAAUUUUUAAGCAAUUUUUAUAUCUACCAGUUUAUUUUAGGAUAUUCUUCAUUCAGGCUUUGCAAACUUGGUUUCUUUCAGUUUCCCAUUUCAUAGGUUAAUUUGAGUUCCUGUUUUGCACUUCCGAAGCUACCAUUUUUGUAUGAAUGGUUUCGGAUCUGUAUGAAAGCUUGUAAAUAAAGGACCAUUACCGAAAUGUGCGGUUUGGUUUUGGAUCUGUAUGAAAGCUUUUAUUAAAUAAAUGACCAUUACCGAAA
rnacentral:lncRNA from 1 species